rnacentral:rRNA from 1 species
AGUGAACGCUGGCGGCAGGCCUAACACAUGCAAGUCGAACGGCAGCACAGUAAGAGCUUGCUCCUACGGGUGGCGAGUGGCGGACGGGUGCGGAAUACAUCGGAAUCUACUUUUUCGCGGGGGAUAACGUAGGGAAAUUUACGCUAAUACCGCAUACUACCUACGGGUGAAAGCAGGGGAUCUUCGGACCUUGCGCGAUUGAAUGAGCCGAUGUCGGAUUAGCUAGUUGGCGGGGUAAAGGCCCACCAAGGCGACGAUCCGUAGCUGGUCUGAGAGGAUGAUCAGCCACACUGGAACUGAGACACGGUCCAGACUCCUACGGGAGGCAGCAGUGGGGAAUAUUGGACAAUGGGCGCAAGCCUGAUCCAGCCAUACCGCGUGGAUGAUGAAGGCCUUCGGGUUGUAAAGCGCUUUUGUUGGGAAAGAAAAGCAGCAGGUUAAUACCCGGCUGUUCUGACGGUACCCAAAGAAUAAGCACCGGCUAACUUCGUG